rnacentral:misc_RNA from 1 species
UAUAAUAUAAUAUAAUAUCGGGAUGCAUUGCUUUCAGAGAUCGCCUAAAAGCAGACUAUGACAAAACAGAGUGAAAACUAUGAACAAUUUUGUUGUUUGUUUUAUAGAUUUUUAAAAUGGCUUUUCGUAUGCUACAUAUUUGUAGAGUUGUAAAUAAUUUGAUAAAAAUGUUCAAUCUGUAAACAAUGGUAUAUAUUAUUGUAUUUAAUAUUGUUUAAUUUAUUGUUUGUCAGUCAUUCACAUUUGUUAAAAAUAGUCACUUUAUUAAAUAAUGUGAGAAACUCUAUGUUCUUUGGGAAUAAACCUGAAGAUGAAUUAUGAAAGGGUGUGACAAGUAUCAGUAAUGCAGGAAGACGCAGAGGUAGAGCAAGAAGAGUAGUGAAAAGAGAGACCUAAGGGGCAAAUAAUUGGCAUGGGAAAAAUUCCGAUACAAUUUCCUGGUCUGAACACUUCUGUGUUUAGAGGAAAAGAAUUAAUUCAACAGCUAAAACUGCUUGUAAAUCUUGAAAGAAAGCAAAACUAAUGGAAUUACCACAAAGUCAGACCAGGCCAAUGCAAAUAAAAUUAUCGCCAUUGAAAUGUGGUUGGAGGAGUGUUACAAUGGAUGGCAGAAGCAUUGAAUUAGAUCUUAUUGGAAAAGAUACAUUUGAAAGUUUUGAAACCUGGAUUUUGGGAAACAAAAUGAUAACUUGUAUGACCAGUAAUUUAGCACGUAAGACUAGAAUCAAUUCAUAUAUAGUAACUGGGAAUGGAAAUGGAUUGGCUGGAUUUGCGUUAUCAAAAGCCAAAGCAUCCCUAAAGACGAUUAAAAAUAAGACUGGUCAAAGAUUAAUGUAUAUUCCUACAUAUAAGGAACACACUGUGUUACAUGAUUUCUUUACACAGUUUGAGAAUAUAAAAAUAUUUGUAAAGAAAAUUCAUGAAGGAUAAUGGGCUUGUUUGUCAUCAUGCAAUAAAAGCAUGUGAGAUAAUUGGCAUAAAGGAUAUGUAUGCCAAAGUUCAAGGAGGAAUGUAAAAGCAUUCUUUAUUGGUUUAUUGCAAUAAGUGUGAAUAUAAAGUAUUUAAAGGCAUAUUAUACUUUUUAUUUAAUUUAUAUU